GGGAGGGUGGCUCAGUGGUAGAGCGCAGCGAACUUGCAUUUGGUGUUUCCUACCUAAGGAUAGUGAAACGUGUCCUAUGAUGCCGGUUCCUAAGGUCAUGGGUUCGGAUCUCAUCUCUCUCU